CCCAAUCCAAAAAUAAGCAGAAGACCUAAAUAGACAUUUCUCCAGAGAAGAUAUACAGAUUGCCAACAAGCACAUGAAAGGAUGCUCAACAUCACUAAUCAUUAGAGAUAUGCAAAUCAAAACCACAAUGAGAUAUCAUCUCACACCAGUCAGAAUGGCCAUCAUCAAAAAAUCAACAAAAAUUAAAUGCUGGAGAGGAUGUGGAGAAAAGGGAACCCUCUUGCACUGUUGAUGGGAAUGUAAAUUGAUACAGCCACUAUGGAGAACAGUAUGGAGGUUCCUUAAAAAGCUAAAAAUAGAACUACCAUACGACCCAGCAAUCCCACUACUGGGCAUAUACCCUGAGAAAACCAUAAUUCAAAAAGAGUCAUGUACCCCAAUGUUCAUUGCAGCACUAUUUACAAUAGCCAGGACAUG